rnacentral:rRNA from 1 species
CUUAAUCCAACAUCGAGGUCGCAAACCCCCCUGCCGAUAAGAACUCUCAAGGGAGAUAACGCUGUUAUCCCUAAGGUAAUUUAAUCUUACAAUCAAAAUAAAUGGAUCAAGUAAAUAUAAAUAAAUAUAACAACACAAAGGAGAGGUUAAACAAAUCUCUCCCAUCACCCCAACAAAACAUAUUAAACGGCCCAGUGAACCCUCACAAACAGAAAAAGACCAUAAUAAAUGUUAAACUCUAUAGGGUCUUCUCGUCCCAUAAAAGCAUCUAAGAAUUUUAACUCAAAGACCAAAUUCAAUAAACAAUUCAAAAUUUAAGACAGCCCAUGCCUCGUCAAGCCAUUCAUACCAGAUCACAAUUAAAGAACUAAUGACUAUGCUACCUUUGCACGGUCAAAAUACCGCGGCCCUUCAACUAUUCAAAAGUCAGUGGGCAGGCCAUACUUCAAAAACUAA